ACCUUCGUGGUGUAGUGGUCAGCACGCUCGGCGCGUAACCGAGAACUCCGUGGUUCGAUUCCUGGCGAGGGCA
rnacentral:tRNA from 1 species